UUGCGCUAAGCGGGAAGCUAGCGGUGUCCUGUCACCCGAAAUCCGCUCAAUGCGGGGCUGAAUUCCCUUUUGAGGGCUCUCACUUCCGUGUUCCAAGAGUUGUCCUAGGUCGGGCACCACGCAACGGGCGGUUACGAACCCCGUCAGGUCCGGGAGGAAGCAGCGGUAAGUAAUCCAGUCUGUGUCGUGGGUUGGCUUCGGCCCAAUCAUGACGGCUUGAGGUACGUCGGAAAGGGUUCGAUUAAGGGUGCGCAA
rnacentral:SRP_RNA from 1 species